rnacentral:sRNA from 1 species
ACUGGGUGUGGUGGUGCACACCUGUAAUCCCAGCAACUGAGAGGCUGAGGCAGGAGGAUUGCAAGUACAAGGGCAGCCCCAGCAAGUUUGCAAGAUUGUCUCAA